GCAUUGGUGGUUCCGUGGUAGAAUUCUUGCCUUCCACGUGGGAGACUCAGGUUUGAUUCCAGGCCGAUGCA
rnacentral:tRNA from 1 species